rnacentral:rRNA from 1 species
GGUUAUACAAGAUAUACAAAUAAAUUUUUUUAUUUUGUAGUUAAAUUGAUUAUUAAUUAAAUUAAAUGUUUAUAAAUAAGGUGAAAUUUUUUAUAAAAAAAUAAAUUUUUGAAUUAAUUAAUUGAAGCUAUUAGAUUUAAAUAAUAAACUAGGAUUAGAUACCCUAUUAUUUUAAAAUUAAAAAUUUAUGAUUAGGUAGUAAUAGUUAUGAUCUUGAAACUUAAAAAAUUUGGCGGUAUUUUAAUCUAAUUAGAGGAAUCUGUUCCAUAAUCGAUAGUCCACGAUAAAUUUUACAUAAUUUAAUUUAGUUUGUAUAUCGUCGUUAUAAGAAAAUUUUAUAAGGAUAUUAAUUUUCUAAAAUUUAAAUUUAAUUUUAUUUCAGAUCAAGGUGCAGCUUAUAAUUAUGAGGAAAUGGAUUACAAUAAAUUUAUUUAUAUGAAUAAUAAAGUGAAUAUUUUAUUUGAAGGUGGAUUUAAUAGUAAAUUGAAUUAUAUAAUUUAAUUGAUUAUAGCUCUAAAAUAUGCACAUAUCGCCCGUCGCUCUCUUUCUUUAAAAAGAGAUAAGUCGUAACAAAGUAGAUGUACUGGAAAGUGUAUCUAGAAUGGAUAC